AGUCUUUUACUGUUUCAUAUUCCUUAAAUAAUAAUAAAUAUUUCGAUUCUUUACUAAUUCAGUCCAUAUAAUCAGAAGUGGAAGAUCAUCAAUAAAUGUAAGAAAUAUUACAUAUUUCUCUGUUUUCACAUGAAGAGGUUCACAAAUAUCGGAUUGAACAAGAUCUAGCUAAUCAUUUACUCUAAGCCCUUAAAGAAAAGGAGGUCUGAUGAUUUUUCUCAAUAACAAUGUUCAUGUGUUUUAAAAUUCAGCUUUCUAUAUAAUCUAUAUGAUAUUGAACCUUUACAAGGCAACAUUUUCUAUUUAUCCUACCAGUUUUCCAAGCCUAAUACACCACUCUAAGAACCAAAAAUCCUAGCAGAAUCAGUGUAAG
rnacentral:lncRNA from 1 species